AAGCCAUUCAUCUGUUACAGCUGCCUAUAACAUAAAUCAAAAGCAUUAUUUAUAUGCAUUAACCUGGGGACCUGACCAGCCGGGGAGAACACUCUGUAGAGAUGGCAUUUAUCCCUGUAGAAGCCUUCCAUCCAGUUGAAGCAGGCUAUGUUUAGCUCAGGUUGAGACUAUUGCAGCCACUGGAUUCACCUUCCUGCUCUGGCCUUCGGAGCAGACAAGCCUGUGUUUGCUGCUAGGUCUUGUUGGUACUUGGCAUCCUUUUUUUGUUUGGCACGGCCUGAACUAGCUCAAGUCCUGAAGCGCUGCUGCCACAGGAGCACGGCUCUGGGCAUACAGUAACAAGCUCUGCUUCCUGGAGACCCGUGCUGUGUCCUGACCAGAAGAGAGUGCUCAGUGGAAAUUACAGCUUGGGGUAAGGCUAAUUUGAGGACCUCUGCACGUCUUCCUUUGGGAACAGAAGAAUGAAAUGUCAAAGUCAGUAGCAAAGUUUAGGAACAGUAAGGUUGAGAAUCAGAAUUACCAAUAUCCACAAAAUUCAAUAAUAAUUUGC
rnacentral:lncRNA from 1 species